rnacentral:sRNA from 1 species
CAACCCACUCUCUGUGCUAUGACUUCAUUACUCUUUCCCAGCCCAGCCCUGGGCAAGCCCCUUACGAAGUCUCAGGCUACCUGGAUGACCACCCUUUCUUAUGAUGCUGCAAGGAGGGCAGGUGGGCAGAGCCCCGUGCAUCCUGGGCUCAGGCCAGGGACCCAAGAGCUUGGGAGAAGCUGGUUCUCAGACUGAAGGCCAGAGCCCAGCACCUUGUCACCAUCCCGGGGAGCAUCAUGGCACACAACAACCAGAGCCAAGGUGUGCAGAGAAGUCUACAUUCCCAUGUCAAGCUACAGCUAGAGAGUUGACUCCUCUAUUUGAGAUUGACAGGCCUCGGAAGUCAAAAUAAGUGGUUUCCUAGACCGGGUCGAGAGCAAGUCUCUAUUGGUCCCAACUGAGUUUUUUCAGCUGGUUUUUCAACCAAACAGCACCUCAUCUCCCAGUGAGGGGAAGGGAAGGCUGGGCUGAGAGCAGCAAGGCUGCUCAUCUCACCUCUCCCCACCCAGCCAUGCCAGCCGCCUCACCUGGUGGGGAGAGGUGGGCCUCACCUGGGUCCCCUGGCAGUGCUCUGUGAAGGGUCUUGACAUUGCACUGUAAUAAUAAAGGUGUGUGUGAAGUAUC